CGCAAGCCAGCGGGGCGAGGCGCCUGGGCCCUGCGCGUCAGGUCCCGGCCUGGGGCACCGGGGCUGCCAGCGUCGGAGGAGGCCUGAGACCUGGGAGGAAGCUGGAGAAAAGAUGCCCUCUGAAUCUUUGUGUUUGGCUGCCCAGGCUCGCCUUGACACCGAAUGGUUGAAAACAGAUAUACAGAUGGUAGUGUCGAACCAAGUGGAACAAAGAAAGAAGAUCUGAAUGACAAAGAGAAAAAAAAUGAAGACGAAACUCCUGCACCUGUAUAUAGGGCCAAGUCAAUUCUGGAGACCUGGGUGUGGGUCAAGCAACCAGGAAACGGAAGCCCAAAGAGGAGGGGAGCUUACAGCAGGCCCUGGACUAGGGAUUAACACAAAAACAACAGCAACAAAUCUGAUUUAAGCUUCACACAUGUAAGUAAAACAUUACCAUCCCCAUUUUACAGAUGUGAAAAGAGAGGCCCAAAGAGCUCGAGCAAUUUUCCCUAAACCGUGUCCCUCGCAGUUGGAGAGAGAAGUAGGACUCAAACCCAGAAUUCUUAGCCA
rnacentral:lncRNA from 1 species